rnacentral:piRNA from 1 species
UCACAGGCUCGGCUCAAGUGUUAGGUGU